UGGUCUGAAUGGGGGUGGGGAGCCAGACACCCGGGAAGAUAGGGACACGAUCCGGCUGGUCUUCACAACGCGGGACCUUUCUCCCUGAGGACGAGAGGAGCCACCGGGGCACAGGGCACAGCGAGAAGCAAUGGGUCAGGGUUAGCAGCUAUCGGAGAAGCACUUAAACUCCUUCCGGUUGCAAGACAGCGCACAGAUACCGGACUGAGAAGAGGGGAGCUCCCCCGCGCUGCGCUGCCCAGGGUCCUGCCAGUAACGCCCCCGGGGGAGGUGGAGCGGCUCCCCAGUCCGGCCCUCUCUCCAAAAGACAGUGAUGAAGACAGGGAACCAACCCCAUGACAGACUCUCAGCCCCCUUAACCGCAUUCACUACCGGAACAGCCUUGGAACAAUCGGGAGAACAUCACCCGGCGGGCUUUCAGUAUUUUACCUUGUGUUAUGGUACCAGCCGACCGCCAUGUUUCGCAGAAGCCCGGGCCGCCGGGCUCCCGUUCACCCGAAAAUAUCGCGAGAACAAAAGCGACAACCACCGUUGAAAACGUCAGAUGGGAGACAAUGUAGAGUUCUCGCGAUAUUCCCUUUGCUUACGGAGCGCUUUGUGAAUCAACAGGUGUGGUCGAUAUGAAAGGGGUGUGGCUAAACAGAACAGAGGUUGAAAUGUAUUUUAGGUGUAACCACGUGGCCAAUAAGGAAUCAGCUUCUCCGGGAAGGAAUGGGUUACCUUUGUAAUGACACUUAGGGGCCACAGAAUGAAUCUCAACGCCUCAUAGAGUGCUUCAUCACUAAUGACAGACUUGGGCACAGCCACAAAGGUACCAGCAGACCUUCCUUCUUUGUGGGUCUAAGAUUAUAUGGGCUCUUGCUUGCAUGGAAGCUAGCUGUUGUUCACUUAGUUACAUCUAGUCCCUGGUCUCCAGAGGAGUCUGCCUUCAAGAUAACAGCUGACCCCUAAGAGUUGGAAUUCCCGGUAUAGCAAAACUGAUUAAUUUGAUCCUCCUUAUUUAAAAAACAACUCACCAUUUUCCAGACUACCAAAUGAAGACAAAAUUAAUUUCCCCUGAAGAUUGAAACUCAGCUUAACUUCAAAGUGAGUUCCAGAACCCUGGACAAUAAACUCAAAUGAAGAACUACAUUCACAAGCUUGUCAAGCAGGGUGGGCAGAUAUCAACAAUUUUAUGACUUAUGGAUUGAAUUCAUACACUGAAGAUGAUGGAGGAGGAAGACAGAAAAAGCCUCAGGCUAUCAUAGCUGUACAGCUGCCUCCUAGUUUCCUGACUUCAUUUAGGGAAGAGAAUAAAAUCCUAAUUCCCUCAAGCUACUGCAGUAAAGUCUUUUCAAUUAGCAUCUGGCAAGUAAUUCCUAAUGGAUUCAAUGAAAUUUUCACUAUUUUUGACCUCUGAAAACAGAACCUCCCCU